CACCAUCUGCUGUAAAGGCCACAACUGAAGGGGUGGUUCUGGCACCUUCGGCAUUCUCCAGCACCUAAACUCCCAAAAUGUGAUAGAGACAUGAAUCCCUGGCCUGAACUGGGGAAGUCACUUUCAGGAUUAAAGGCAGCCAACAGAACAUCAGCACCCAGAGCCCUGGAGAACAGCAUCUGUGUUUGAGUGGUAAAGUGUCAACAGGCCGCUUAAGGAGGAGUGGGUAUAGGGAGAGAGAGGCUGCAUUUCUAAAAUAUCUCUGAGAACAAGCUGCUUUUCAGAAUUCAAAUCAACAUGUGAUCUUCUUCACUUUAGGGGUAUAUGCAGGAAGCCAUUAGACACAACCAGGUAUUGAAUUGUCUUCCCUGAAGUCCGUGUCUGUGGGUCUGGCUGGGCCACUUGAUGAGAAAUCUCAGCAAGAGGUCUCAGACACCAAACUGGGGAAAAAAUUAAACUGACAGAGUGCUUGAUAUUUCCAAGAAGUCACUUAGGUUCUGUGUAUUACCGCAGCAUUCAA